GGGCCCGAGUUGUAAUUUGCAGAGGGAGUUUCGGAGGCGGCACCCGGCCUAAGUUCCUUGGAACGGGGCGUCAGAGAGGGUGAGAAUCCCGUACGUGGCCCGGUGGCCAAUUCCAUGUGAAACCCUUUCGACGAGUCGAGUUGUUUGGGAAUGCAGCUCAAAAUGGGUGGUAAAUUUCAUCUAAAGCUAAAUACCGGCCAGAGACCGAUAGCGCACAAGUAGAGUGAUCGAAAGAUGAAAAGCACUUUGGAAAGAGAGUUAAAAAGUACGUGAAAUUGUUGAAAGGGAAGCGCUUGCGACCAGACUUGCCCGCGGGUGAUCAGCCCCCCUUCGGGAGGGUGCACUCGCCCGUGGUCAGGCCAGCAUCGGUUUUGGCGGGCGGAUAAAGGCUCCAGGAAUGUAGCUCCCCUCGGGGAGUGUUAUAGCCUGGGGUGCCAUGCGCCCCGCCGGGACCGAGGACCGCGCUUCGGCUAGGAUGCUGGCGUAAUGGUCGUAAGCGACCCGUCUUGAAACACGGACCAAGGAGUCUAACAUCUGUGCGAGUGUUUGGGUGUCAAACCCAUGCGCGGAAUGAAAGUGAACGGAGGUGGGAACCCCUUCCGGGGGGCGCACCAUCGACCGAUCCUGAUGUCUUCGGAUGGAUUUGAGUAGGAGCAUGGCUGUUGGGACCCGAAAGAUGGUGAACUAUGCCUGGAUAGGGUGAAGCCAGAGGAAACUCUGGUGGAGGCUCGCAGCGGUUCUGACGUGCAAAUCGAUCGUCAAAUCUGGGUAUAGGGGCGAAAGACUAAUCGAACCAUCUAGUAUGCGGAGCUACUACUAGAGAUACUGAAUCGAGAGAGGCAGGAAACUGCCUCAGUAGUCCCCGUCAUUAGGGGGCAACAUCGCCGGUCUUCGGGGACGCCUCUAGGCUACCCGCACUGAGCUCCGGUUCAGUCACAGACUAAGUGGCGGUGGCCGCACCACCUGCGGUUAGGAUAUAGUCGGCGGGCCCCUGGCGGG
rnacentral:rRNA from 1 species